UACGUAGGGUGCGAGCGUUAAUCGGAAUUACUGGGCGUAAAGCGUGCGUAGGCGGUUCCUCAAGUCCGUUGUGAAAAGCCCCGGGCUCAACCUGGGAAUGGCAGUGGAAACUAGGGGACUGGAAUCUGGCAGAGGGGGGUGGAAUGCCGCGUGUAGCAGUGAAAUGCGCAGAUAUCAGGAGGAACACCGAUGGCGAAGGCAGGUCUCUGGGCCGCAACUGACGCUGGAGGAGCGAAAAGCAUGGGGAGCGAACAGG
rnacentral:rRNA from 1 species